ensembl:lncRNA MIR100HG mir-100-let-7a-2-mir-125b-1 cluster host gene
GUUCUCCGUCCUCUAUUGAAACACCUCGCCCAGCCUAGCGCACUGAGAGCUCUCAUUUUCCCCCCUUGCUCGGGAUGGUGCCACAGGAGGCUGUGCGGGCCCCGCUCCGCUUCGAAUGGAUACAGUUAAGCUAAUGAUCUCGAGAGGAUAUCGUCCUGGAUAAGGGUGGAGCCUACGCCCAAAAACAAGAUUACCUGAAAGAGAAAAGAAAGGGGGAAAACACACAGAGAUACAGUCGGGGAGGCCACAUGAAGAUGGAGGCAGAGACAGGAGUGAUGAGCCUGCAAGCCAAGGAAUGCCAAGGGCUGCCAGCAGCCAUGAGAAGCUGAGAGACACAGAGAACGAGUCCUCUGCCAGAGCCUCCAGAAGGAACUAACCCUGUCAAUACCUUGAUUUCGGACUUCUGGACUCCAGAACUGUGAGAGAAUAUAUUUCUGUUGUUUUAAGCCAUUCAGUUUGUAGUAAUUGGUUACAAUAGCCAUGGGAAGCUAACAUAGGGUCCUUCAACAAUCAAAGCAAAAAAGAGGACCUAUUAGCACAUGGAGUGCAAAGGAGGAAGGAAUGACUGAGCUGUUUGAAAGUGCAGCGGGAUGUCAUGGGCAACCAGAACUCAGGUCCAAAUUCUGCCAGAACUCUCCCUCUGUGUUAGUCUAUUCUCACACUGCUAAUAAAGACAUACCUGAGACUGGCUGAUUUAUAAAGGAAAGAGGUUCAAUUGACUCACAGUUCUGCAGGGCUGCGGGGGGGACUCAGGAAACUUACAAUCAUGACAAAAGUGGAAGCAAACACAUCCUUCUUCACAUGGCAGCAAGGAGAAGUGCCGAGCCAAAGGAGGAAAAGCCCCUUAUAAAACCAUCAGAUUUCAUGAGAACUCACUCACUAUCAUGAGCACAGCAGCAUGGGGAUAACUGCCCCCACGAUUCAAUUACCUCCCACCAGGUCCCUACCAAGACACGUGGAGAUUAUGGGAAUUACAAUUCAAAAUGAGAUUUGGGUGGGGACACAGCCAAACCAUAUCGGUCUCUUUCCUCUCUGCUUCACUGUCAUUGAAAACUGGCAUUCUUCACUUGGCAGCAAACAUUGCUGCUAACAUCUUUUGAGUUUUUUAUUGUAUGGCUUCAAUCAUCUCAGACAUACUAACUUCCUUUCAUAUUUCCAAAUUAUCUGAAAGAAUCUUACUUUCCUAAUUUGGGUCAUGUCUCACCCUGAACUAACCAACAGAGGCUAAGCUGCCAGGAUCUUAUAAAAUAUGACAGCUCCUAAGGAAACCACUUGAAUGAGUGGAGGUGCUGGGCACCCAGGAGUCCAUCACAUGGGAUCUUUUCUGUCUGUGAUAUGAUAGCCAUUUUUUUAAGGACAACAGUGUGGCAUUUGCAAAGACAUUUGUUUUGUGGACAAGACAUGCAAGUGAAUCUGAGCUCUGCCAUUUACUGGAAGUGUGACAUUAGCAAGUCACUUGGCCUUUCUGAGCUUUCUUAUCUUGUAAAAAAUGAGGAUAGAUUGUUUGAUAAACACUCUACACCUAGAAGGAUCUCAAUAAUGUUUGUUAAUAAUGGUCAUAGAAGUAUAGAACUUAAAUGGACCUUAAAGACAGACAAGGUUAAUCACCUUAUUUUUGCAGAUGAGAUUUCAGAAUUUAAGUUGGUGAGAAAACCAGGACAAGAAUUUAGGUUACUUAACUACCAGAUUAGUGUUUCUUUGUUAUUUUAUAUGAUCUGCCCCCAUCCCUGUGGAUAUAAAAUAAGGUCUCAUCUGAAAGGUGUUAUUCAACUAAAGAAAAAGCAGCUUUCUUAGAACAGACACUGAUAUUAGGCUUUAGAUUAGAUAUUAACACAGGGAUAAAGGUGUCAAAAAAGAAAGACCAAAGAAUUGUGUUGGGAGUUAAAACGUGAAGGACACAGUCAAGUGCCUGCAAAAUCUUGCCAUUUUUGAGCCUAUAAACAGUAAUUACUUUGAGACAGCAUUCACACAAAUAAACUAUGAUGGGUUCAGACCCCUCUGAUUAUUAAGCCAUCUUGUUUACAUCCCUCUAUCCUGUGUUUCUUUUCCUUUGGCUAUCCUUAUUAUAUAAAUAAAAACAGUUAGGAAGAGCCUAUUUGCGUCAGUUUGACAAUGAGAAAAUCAGGAGAAAGGUUUUUCCUUCUUUGGGCCAAGCUUUGGUCCUUGUAAGAACAAUUGCUAAUAUGUCUAGUGACUAUAGUUCUGAUCAUUUUUAUGCUUAUAAAAGCCUGAUGCUGAAUGCCUAUGUUUUAAAAUUUUUAUAAGAUCAACUUUGCUUUCAGAUAACCCUCCUUCCUCCACCUCACAAAAACUCACAAGCUGCAACCCUUCUGAUGUCCACUCCCACACAAACCAGCUUCAGGCCUUUUUCAAGUGGAUGCUGUGGGGCACCACCUCCUUGAGGACCAAGGCACUCCAGCUGCCAGGAAUUUGGCUGCUAACCUCACACAGCUGAGCCUUCCAUGAAAAUUGCUCUCUGCCAAAGAGAACUUCCUAGUCCAAGGUCAUGUCUACUCUCCAGAGAUGUGACUGGAGUGAUUUGCACCCGGAUGCCUAGACUCGCCAUCUGCUCAAAGACUGCUCAGAAAGCCCUCCCAUGCAUUCCCCUGCUGCAUACCAGCCCACUCUGCCUGCAGCUGCUGUCUGCAGGACUUCAUAUCUAUGCCACACUGUGUAAAAGCUGUGCUUCAAGAAAUCACAAAAACAUUUUCCUGCACCUACUACACAGCCUGAGUGCGGCAUAAGUUGACCUUGCUUGCUAAGAAAUGGGGCAAGAAAUGCUUUUUUGUGUGUGUCAUGUCUGUUUGUUUUUCAAUUAAGAGAGGAAAGCAUUAGGCAGAUGGAAUGUACAUGUGAGGAUGAGGAGACAGAAAACAAGUAGCCCUUUCCAUCAAGAUAGAGGGUUUUCUGGGGUUGCUGGCUAUUGAAUGUCACUCCUGAUUUCUCUUUCCAAGGCACUGUACCACCAGCCUACUGAGAUUGUGUGGGAGCUUUCAUGGGGGU